rfam:Desulfosporosinus orientis DSM 765, complete genome.
UGCGAUAAAGGCAAACUUAGUGAAAACUAAGGACGCAAAGCUAUGGGUCUUCCGGGUAAAGCUGAUGACUGCCAAGCCACCGAAA